CCUCCAUCAAACAUCAUACGGUUGGUGUGCUGCCAGAGUCUCUAACCAAUGGAGCUCUCCGAAACAAGAUUUCAGCUGUGCCUCCGAGACCAGUCUUUCCUCUCAACGCUCAAAGUGAACCAGAGAUGUUUCAUUCGGCUCCUCAUGGAGUGUUCCCAAGACCUCCUCCUUCUCAUCGUUUGGGAGCCCAGGAGAGUCCUAAGAUGGCCCCUCCGGAGGUCAAUGUGCCGAGCAAAGUCAAGCUGACAGGAGAACUUCUUCAGCGCAAGAUACUUCAACAGCACAGCGACUUGAAAGUGUCUUCAACUUUUAAACCACCACUGCCGAGCCAGAGGAGCGUGUCAGACGUAGUACCGCUAAGAAAGCCGCUUCCCAAUGUCGGGCCGCGACCCUCAAAACCGAAACGUCCUCCGUCUGUAAACCUGGAUCAUUUCCGGAAAAAAGCCCCUGUGGUUCUUCCCAAAAGAAACGUAGAGCUGCAAAGUUCUAAAGGUCCAGCACGGCCACCAAACAAACCCAGCCAGAUGACAUCUUCAUUUUCAGAAUUAAACAUCGACCCCCAAGAGUACUAUGAUGACAUCAGCGCACUCCCACCACCUCCUCCCACACCUCCAAGGCCGAGAGGUAAACGUGAAUAUACUUUGCAGUUGGACUUGUGAUUUUCACCUGGUGGGUUAUAAAGCA
rnacentral:lncRNA from 1 species